AUGGAUGGUUAGGUUGAUUGACCAUAGUCAGACUUGAUUAUUUGUUGGUUAGAUGGGGUGAGUAUGAUCAUAUUAAUAGUUAGACCUAACUAGGACUUUCGAUAGAGGUCCUAGCCUACUGAAAUAAAAUCUGGGAUAAAAUUAAUUACUAAAAAUUAUUUAAAAAAAUAAUUAAUUAAGAACCUAUCUAUAGAUGCACAUGAAUUGGCCGGCCA
rnacentral:lncRNA from 1 species